AACAAUGGCACAUCCUUCACAGCUAGGUUUUCAAGAUGCAGCUUCACCAUUAAUAGAAGAACUCCUCCACUUCCAUGAUCACGCCCUAAUAAUCGUUUUCCUGAUUAGCGCUUUCGUCCUAUACAUUAUUGUAGCCAUAAUCACCUCUAAGCUAACGGACAAACUUAUUCUAGACUCCCAGGAAAUUGAGGUCAUCUGAACCGUCCUCCCGGCAAUUGUGCUGAUUAUGAUUGCCCUCCCAUCCCUCCGAAUCCUUUACCUAAUAGAUGAAAUCAAUGAUCCACAUCUUACAAUUAAAGCAAUGGGCCACCAAUGAUACUGAAGCUACGAAUAUACAGACUAUGACGAUCUCGGCUUUGACUCCUACAUGGUCCCAACACAAGAUCUUACUCCCGGCCAGUUUCGGCUCCUAGAGGCAGAUCACCGAAUGGUAAUCCCCGUAGAAUCCCCAAUCCGAGUCCUCAUCUCCGCAGAAGACGUACUUCAUUCUUGAGCCGUACCAUCCCUGGGCGUAAAAGUAGAUGCAAUUCCUGGCCGGCUCAACCAAACAACCUUUAUUGUUAACCGACCAGGCAUCCUCUACGGACAAUGCUCUGAAAUCUGCGGGGCUAACCACAGCUUCAUACCCAUUGUGAUCGAAGCAGUUCCCCUGCCACACUUCGAAAACUGAACAUCGCUAAUAAUGGCAGAAUACACCUCGCUAAGAAGCUAAGUCAGGCAAGCAGCGUUAGCCUUUUAAGCUAAAGAUUGGUGGCGCCUAAUCACCCUUAGCGAAUAUGCCUCAACUAAACCCCGCCCCAUGGCUCGCCAUCCUAACCUUUUCCUGGCUCAUCUUCCUAACAGUAAUUCCUCCUAAAAUUCUAGCCCACUCUUUCCCUAAUGAACCUACCCCCCACAGCACAAAAGCUCCUAAAACUGAUCCCUGAAUGUGACCAUGGCAUUAAGCUUUUUUGACCAAUUUAUAUCUCCAAAUUUUUUAGGAAUUCCGCUGAUUGCUAUGGCCAUUGCCCUCCCAUGGACCCUCUAUCCAACACCAUCAACUCGAUGAUUAAGCAACCGACUACUAACCCUUCAAAACUGAUCAAUCAACCGAUUUACUCAACAGCUUCUUCUGCCUUUAAAUCAAGAGGGGCACAAAUGAGCCGCCCUAUUGGCCUCCUUAAUAAUUUUCCUGCUAUCACUAAAUAUACUAGGCCUCCUUCCAUACACCUUCACCCCCACCACACAACUAUCUCUCAACCUAGGUCUCGCAGUCCCCCUGUGACUCGCAACAGUAAUUAUUGGAAUGCGAAACCGACCAACCCACGCCCUAGGCCACCUUCUCCCAGAGGGAACCCCCUCCCUGCUAAUUCCAAUCCUAAUUAUCAUCGAAACAAUCAGUCUCCUCAUCCGUCCAAUUGCUCUCGGAGUCCGACUAACAGCCAAUCUCACAGCAGGACACUUACUAAUUCAACUCAUCGCCACCGCUUCUUUUGUCCUCCUUCCACUAAUACCAACGGUGGCCGUCCUGACAACUGCCCUACUGUUUUUACUCACCCUCCUUGAAGUGGCCGUUGCUAUAAUUCAAGCUUAUGUCUUCGUCUUACUUCUGAGCCUCUACCUACAAGAAAACGUAUAAUGGCACAUCACUCACACCCCUACCAUAUAGUUGACCCCAGCCCAUGACCCCUAACAGGAGCUAUUGCCGCCCUACUAAUAACGUCAGGACUCGCAGUCUGAUUCCACUUCCACUCCACCUCUUUGAUACUACUCGGGACAAUUUUACUUACCCUAACAGUAAUCCAAUGAUGACGAGACAUCGUACGAGAAGGAACAUUUCAAGGCCAUCACACCCCACCAGUCCAAAAAGGCCUCCGAUACGGAAUAAUCCUCUUCAUCACAUCAGAGGUACUAUUUUUCCUAGGCUUUUUCUGAGCAUUCUACCACUCAAGCCUGGCACCCACACCAGAACUAGGAGGCAACUGACCCCCUGCGGGCAUUACCCCCCUAGACCCCUUCGAAGUGCCCCUCCUUAAUACAGCUGUUCUACUUGCCUCAGGGGUCACAGUCACCUGAGCUCACCACGCAAUUAUAGAGGGCAAGCGAAAACAAGCCAUCCACGCCCUAGCCUUAACAAUCCUCCUUGGUGCUUACUUCACCUUCCUCCAAGCCAUGGAGUACAAUGAGGCACCAUUCACAAUUGCAGAUGGGGUCUACGGCUGCACCUUCUUCGUAGCCACUGGCUUCCACGGGCUCCACGUCCUUAUCGGCUCCACAUUUUUAGCUAUUUGCCUUGCUCGCCAAAUCUCACAUCACUUUACAUCAGAACAUCAUUUUGGAUUCGAAGCAGCCGCAUGGUACUGACAUUUUGUAGACGUUGUAUGACUUUUCCUAUACAUUUCAAUUUACUGAUGAGGAUCAUAA